UACGUAGGGUGCAAGCGUUAAUCGGAAUUACUGGGCGUAAAGCGUGCGUAGGCGGCUAUGUAAGACAGAUGUGAAAUCCCUGGGCUCAACCUAGGAACUGCAUUUGUGACUGCAUUGCUAGAGUGUGGUAGAGGGAGAUGGAAUUCCGCAUGUAGCAGUGAAAUGCGUAGAUAUGCGGGGGAACACCAAUGGCGAAGGCAAUCUCCUGGACCUGCACUGACGCUCAUGCACGAAAGCGUGGGGAGCAAACAGG
rnacentral:rRNA from 1 species